rnacentral:lncRNA from 1 species
CAGUUUAAUAUAAUUCUUGAAUGAAAAUAUUAAAAAAAUACUUAAAAAAAAAGGGCCCAUGAAACUGUUCUUGGCAAUACUGUUUACCAUGUGAAGCAAGAGCAGAAUAGGAAAAGGUCAUCCCAUGGCGCUUCAGGGUCAAAGAAUUUGUCCAAAAAGGGACCUCUCUAUAAGAGAAAGUAGGGUCAUUAUGGAAAAUUCACUCCAUCUAAUUAAUAAAAGUCUCAUCCCACCAUCUUCCCUUCAAGUG